AUGAGUUCGAUGGAAGUAGCUAGAGCCUCAGGAGAUGCGGCUAGAGGGCGGCCACGUGACAGGGACUCCCAUGCUACCUCCCAUCACCGUCGCCACUCACCUUCAAUUUCUUCCUGGAGCUCUCGGUCCCGAAGCCCUGCCGCUGCCUCUUCUUACUCCAAUCCGGGAUCUCCAGGCAGACGUCCGCCAUUUUAUGUCUACGACUAUGGCCAUUACAAGUAUGCCCCUCCUCCUCCUAUGGGUUUUGGCUACUGCCGCCAUUUUGAUUGUUGCGGAGGGGCAGCGCCAAGCGGAAGCCACGCCCCUGCGCCCCUGACGCAAUACCAAGACGCCACCUCCCGGAGACAGGCACUCCCUCGGCCGCUUGCAGCUCCAAAGCGCGGCCGCGCCCCCUCAGCCUCUCUGCAGCCAGAAACAAGACCGGGAGGCUCGGGAGGCGAUCCCGACGCCUCGGUACCGAGGCAUCCAGUGCAGGCCACAGUAGCAGCGGAGGCUGCUGAUGACCUUGAAGCGGGCCCUGUUGACGAAGGUGACCAUCUCUCGGUACCGUCAGGAGAGGAAGACCUUCCUUCUUCUGCGGAUCCUCCUACAGACAUCGAGGCCACAUUACCGGAAGAGUUGAAGAGCUUUUCUGCCCUGAUGAUUAGGCUGGCGCGGGCCCUGAAACUGUUGGUCCCUCAACCAGCCAAGGUAGUUGACGAUCCCAUGUUCCCCUCCUCCCAGCAACAGGACCCACCUACGACAGUCUUACCUUCGCUCCCGUUUCUGCUCCAACUGAGUAAGGCGUCAGGUGUAGCUCCAGCUUCAGUCCCAGCUACCCCAAGAAGAGCAGAAAAUAUUUACAAAAUUGAUCUUUCGUCUGCUCCAUGGCUAGCGGGGCAACCAAAACCAAACUCUAUUGUGGUAAACGUCAGCCAAGCUAAACCUGGCCAAAGGUCCCAGGCAACUCCGUCAGAUAAAGAAGGAAAAAAACUGGAAGGAAUGGGGAAGAAGAUCUAUUCCUCAGCCUGCCUUUCUACGAGGAUGGCGCACUAUGCAGCAUAUAUGGCUGGCUAUCAAAGUUAUCUGUGGGAUAAAAUGAGCACAUACAUCGACCUCCUCCCCCCAAACGAACAAGCUCUAGCAAGAGCUUUCCACCAAGAAGCCUCCACCCUGGCCGUGUUUCAAAAAGAACUUGCAAAACACAUGGCUGACUCCGCUGGCAAACUACUGGCAGGCGCAGUAGCUCUACGCCGUCAUGCUUGGCUGAGGGCCUCAGGCCUCUCCCAGUCGGCCCGUACUGUGAUAGAGGACCUGCCCAUGGAGGAGGCAGGCUUAUUUAAUCCGGAAACGGAUUCCCAGCUUGAGCAUACUCAAAAAAUGCGACAAACUGCUCACAAAUACGGUUUUUCUCCCUACCUUUCCCAGUACCAUAGACCAUACUGGCCAGCACGCUACCAAUACAACCGCCGUGGACCUAACUCACCUGCGUUUCGAGGACGACAGCGCCCCAACCCUCAGCCUACCACGACAAGGAGACCUCCAACCCACUAUAGGAAUCAACAGCGGGGAGGAGGUAAACAUGGAGAUAGAUAA
rnacentral:lncRNA from 1 species